rnacentral:tRNA from 1 species
CGGGUGGUCGAAAAAGGGCGGGUCAUCUGUCUUCCAAACAGAUGAUGCGAGUUCGAUUCUCGUCAGCCCCUCCA